ensembl:lncRNA
GAGGCCAUCAGCAAAACUGCAACUGUUCCUCAUGACUAAGUCUUCCCUGCAGCCAGCUCCCACCUUCAUUUUAUGGUCAGUGGGAGACAGAAAGGGGGAGUAAUGGGACUCUUUUCCUAUCCCUGAUGCUGCUGUCUCAGUUGGAGGAGGGACUGAGCCUGGGCAGGCUGUGACUAAUUUUUCAGUCGACAGUUUUGGCCAACUGAUAAAGGGACCCAGAGCAGAUUCCUCUCCUCUGCCUGAACUCCACGAGAAACUGGAGCCUUGGUACCAGCAGAGGCACACUCGCCCCCACCUACUUCCUCGGAGUUCAGAAUACAUUUGAGUAAAUCUCUCCUGGUUCUCAGAUCUCCUGUAUUGGUUGAAGAGCCUGAAUUUUUAUUUGGUGGGAUAUAGCAGGCUGUCCACCUUUCUCUUCAAGAGCCUCAUUGAAGAAACAUGACGUUUAAUGAUCAAGAAAACCAACUCCUUUUUAAGAUAUGAUAGUCAUUCAUUGAAUGAGGGGCAUCGGUUAAAGAGGCACUAAACACAGAGUUCAGAGUCCAUUGGAAAGGUGGCCGAGCAUGAUCAGCAUGAACACGCCUAAGAUGGAGUCCAGGCCCUAUGAAUUCCUUCUUCAGCAGAAGUAAAAAGCCAUCUCCCUGCAUUCAACAGCAGUCCUCACCCCAGGAUUGCUCUCCAGUCUGCACACUCUCACUUCCAGCUCCCAUGUGUACCAGCGGAUCCACAUCCCAGUCCCAGGAAAAUAUCCAGUAUACCCUGGCUCCUCCCUUAAUGCUUUGGAACUGUUCCUCAAAGUUAUCUGAGAGACUGUUUCCUGGUUACUAAUCCUCAG